GAUGAACGCUGGCGGCGUGCUUAACACAUGCAAGUCGAACGAAGCACCUUGAUUUGAUUCUUCGGAUGAAGAUCCUGGUGACUGAGUGGCGGACGGGUGAGUAACGCGUGGGUAACCUGCCUCAUACAGGGGGAUAACAGUUAGAAAUGACUGCUAAUACCGCAUAAGACCACAGCACCGCAUGGUGCAGGGGUAAAAACUCCGGUGGUAUGAGAUGGACCCGCGUCUGAUUAGGUAGUUGGUGGGGUAACGGCCUACCAAGCCGACGAUUAGUAGCCGACCUGAGAGGGUGACCGGCCACAUUGGGACUGAGACACGGCCCAAACUCCUACGGGAGGCAGCAGUGGGGAAUAUUGCACAAUGGGGGAAACCCUGAUGCAGCGACGCCGCGUGAGCGAUGAAGUAUUUCGGUAUGUAAAGCUCUAUCAGCAGGGAAGAAAAUGACGGUAC
rnacentral:rRNA from 1 species